rnacentral:lncRNA from 1 species
UGGGCCUAAUGAUUGCCAAAACUUUUUAUAGAAAUUUGUUGUGAUACCAUCUUUACCUGGGCUUUUAUUGGGUUUUAAAUUAUUUACUGCUAGUGUUAAUUCUUCUAUUGUAACAUAUCCGUCACACGUCUGACUUUCAUGUUUUGAUAAUUUAUUUUUUACUUCGGUACUGUUAAUAUAUUCCCAUGAUUGGGCAAUGUUUUCAUUUUCUUUUGAAUAUAGUUUUUCGUAAAAUUUCUUUUCAAUUUGAAGUAUUUUACUUUGAUCUGUAACAAUAUUUC